UACGGAGGAUGCAAGCGUUAUCCGGAAUGAUUGGGCGUAAAGCGUCCGCAGGUGGCUGUGUAAGUCUGCUGUUAAAGAGUCUAGCUCAACUUGAUACAAGCAGUGGAAACUACACGGCUAGAGUACGUUCGGGGCAGAGGGAAUUCCUGGUGUAGCGGUGAAAUGCGUAGAGAUCAGGAAGAACACCGGUGGCGAAGGCGCUCUGCUAGGCCGUAACUGACACUGAGGGACGAAAGCUAGGGGAGCGAAUGGG
rnacentral:rRNA from 1 species